AAGGAAUAAAAGCUUAUCUGGUUCAGGGAAAAUCAGAAAUAAGGAAGAUACAGUUGCUGGAAAGCAGACCUUCGGAAUAGCCAAGAGCACAAGCACGGGAAUGUGAAACUUCAGACUACACUUCUGCUAUCAAAAUAAGCAGUCUUUGAAAACUGAACCAAGAUGUUCGCCUCCAGUGUCAUUAAGUCUUCCAUAUACUUUGUAAUUAUAGGUGCUUUAAGAUCUUCUUAUUUAUUGAGAUGAAUUAAUAUAAAACGUGAAACUUGCCAACCUUAAAA